AUUAAAACGCUGGCGGCAUGCCUUACACAUGCAAGUCGAACGGCAGCACGGGGGCAACCCUGGUGGCGAGUGGCGAACGGGUGAGUAAAGCAUCGGAACGUGCCCUGGAGUGGGGGAUAACGUAGCGAAAGUUACGCUAAUACCGCAUAUUCUGUGAGCAGGAAAGCAGGGGAUCGCAAGACCUUGCGCUCUGGGAGCGGCCGAUGUCGGAUUAGCUAGUUGGUGGGGUAAGAGCCUACCAAGGCGACGAUGGUUAGCUGGUCUGAGAGGAUGAUCAGCCACACUGGAACUGAGACACGGUCCAGACUCCUACGGGAGGCAGCAGUGGGGAAUUUUGCGCAAUGGGGGAAACCCUGACGCAGCAACGCCGCGUGAGUGAUGAAGGCCUUCGGGUCGUAAAGCUCUGUCAGAGGGGAAGAAAUGCAGGGGCGCUAAUAUCGCUUAUGCUUGACGGUACCCUCAAAGGAAGCACCGGCUAACCCGU
rnacentral:rRNA from 1 species